rnacentral:rRNA from 1 species
CUUGUGGAUAGGGGUGAAAGGCUAAUCAAACUCGGUGAUAGCUGGUUCUCCCCGAAAGCUAUUUAGGUAGCGCCUCGGACGAAUACCAUUGGGGGUAGAGCACUGUUUCGGCUAGGGGGUCAUCCCGACUUACCAAACCGAUGCAAACUCCGAAUACCAAUGAGUACUAUCCGGGAGACAGACUGCGGGUGCUAACGUCCGUAGUCAAGAGGAAAACAAUCCAGACCGCCAGCUAAGGCCCCUAAAUUAUAGUUAAGUGGGAAACGAUGUGGGAAGGCAUAGACAGCUAGGAGGUUGGCUUAGAAGCAGCCACCCUUUAAAGAAAGCGUAAUAGCUCACUAGUCGAGUCGGCCUGCGCGGAAGAUGUAACGGGGCUAAAACUAUAUGCCGAAGCUGCGGAUUUGCAAUUUAUUGCAAGUGGUAGGGGAGCGUUCUGUAAGCCGAUGAAGGUGGAUUGAGAAGUCUGCUGGAGGUAUCAGAAGUGCGAAUGCUGACGUGAGUAACGACAAAGCGGGUGAAAACCCGCUCGCUGAAAGACCAAGGGUUCCAGUCCAACGUUAAUCGGGGCUGGGUGAGUCGACCCCUAAGGCGAGGCCGAGAGGCGUAGUCGAUGGGAAAUUGGUUAAUAUUCCAAUACUUCUGUUUAAUGCGAUGAGAGGACGGAGAAGGUUAAGUCAGCCUGGCGUUGGUUGUCCAGGUGGAAGGUUGUAGGCAUGUAUCUUAGGCAAAUCCGGGGUACUCUAUGCUGAGAACUGAUAGCAAGCUGUACUUGUACAGUGAAGUGGCUGAUACCAUACUUCCAGGAAAAGUCUCUAAGCUUCAGUUAAACAGGAAUCGUACCCGAAACCGACACAGGUGGUCAGGUCGAGUAGACCAAAGCGCUUGAGAGAACUCUGCUGAAGGAACUAGGCAAAAUGGUACCGUAACUUCGGGAGAAGGUACGCUGCCGGCGGUGAUAGGACUUGCUCCUUGAGCUGUUGGCAGCCUCAGAAACCAGGCCCCUGCAACUGUUUAUUAAAAACAUAGCACUCUGCAAACACGAAAGUGGACGUAUAGGGUGUGAUGCCUGCCCGGUGCUGGAAGGUUAAUUGAUGUGGUUAGCGCAAGCGAAGCUAUUGAUCGAAGCCCCAGUAAACGGCGGCCGUAACUAUAACGGUCCUAAGGUAGCGAAAUUCCUUGUCGGGUAAGUUCCGACCUGCACGAAUGGCAUAAUGAUGGGGGCGCUGUCUCCAGCAGAGGCUCAGUGAAAUCGAAAUCGCCGUGAAGAUGCGGUGUACCCGCGGCUAGACGGAAAGACCCCGUGAACCUUUACUGCAGCUUGACAUUGAACUUUGAUCUUACUUGUGUAGGAUAGGUGGGAGGCUUUGAAGUGGCGACGCUAGUUGCCAUGGAGCCGUCCUUGAAAUACCACCCUGGUAAUAUUGAGGUUCUAACUCUGUCCCGUUAUCCGGGACGAGGACCAUGUCUGGUGGGUAGUUUGACUGGGGCGGUCUCCUCCUAAAGAGUAACGGAGGAGUACGAAGGUGCGCUCAGCGUGGUCGGAAAUCACGCGUAGAGUAUAAAGGCAAAAGCGCGCUUAACUGCGAGACCCACAAGUCGAGCAGGUACGAAAGUAGGUCUUAGUGAUCCGGUGGUUCUGUAUGGAAGGGCCAUCGCUCAACGGAUAAAAGGUACUCUGGGGAUAACAGGCUGAUACCGCCCAAGAGUUCAUAUCGACGGCGGUGUUUGGCACCUCGAUGUCGGCUCAUCUCAUCCUGGGGCUGAAGCAGGUCCCAAGGGUAUGGCUGUUCGCCAUUUAAAGAGGUACGCGAGCUGGGUUUAGAACGUCGUGAGACAGUUCGGUCCCUAUCUACCGUGGGCGCUGGAAAUUUGAGAGGAUCUGCUCCUAGUACGAGAGGACCAGAGUGGACGAACCUCUGGUGUACCGGUUGUGACGCCAGUCGCAUCGCCGGGUAGCUAUGUUCGGAAGGGAUAACCGCUGAAAGCAUCUAAGCGGGAAGCCUACCUCAAGAUAAGAUUUCCCUGUGACUUUAUGUCACCUAAAGAGCCGUUGAAGACUACGACGUUGAUAGGUUGGAUGUGGAAGUGUAGCGAUACAUGAAGCUGACCAAUACUAAUUGCUCGUGAGGCUUGACUAUACAACACCCAAACAGUUG